rnacentral:rRNA from 2 species
CAGUAACGGCGAGUGAAGCGGUAACAGCUCAAAUUUGAAAUCUGGCCUCACGGUCCGAGUUGUAAUUUGUAGAGGAUGCUUCGAGCAUGGUCUGGCCUAAGUUCCUUGGAACAGGACGUCAUAGAGGGUGAGAAUCCCGUAUGCGGCCAGGUGCCUACGCUCAUGUGAAGCUCCUUCGACGAGUCGAGUUGUUUGGGAAUGCAGCUCAAAAUGGGUGGUAAAUUUCAUCUAAAGCUAAAUAUUGGCCAGAGACCGAUAGCGCACAAGUAGAGUGAUCGAAAGAUGAAAAGCACUUUGGAAAGAGAGUUAAACAGUACGUGAAAUUGUUGAAAGGGAAGCGCUUGCAACCAGACUUGCGCGCGGCCGAUCAUCCGGUGUUCUCACCGGUGCACUCGGCCGUGCUCAGGCCAGCAUCGGUUUUGGCGGCUGGAUAAAGGCCCUAGGAAUGUAGCUCCUCUCGGGGAGUGUUAUAGCCUAGGGUGCAAUGCAGCCUGCUGGGACCGAGGACCGCGCUUCGGCUAGGAUGCUGGCGUAAUGGUUGUAAGCGGCCCGUCUUGAAACACGGACCAAGGAGUCUAACAUCUAUGCGAGUGUUUGGGUGUCAAACCCAUACGCGUAAUGAAAGUGAACGGAGGUGAGAACCCUUAAGGGUGCAUCAUCGACCGGUCCUGAAGUUUACGGAAGGAUCUGAGUAAGAGCAUAGCUGUUGGGACCCGAAAGAUGGUGAACUAUGCCUGAAUAGGGUGAAGCCAGAGGAAACUCUGGUGGAGGCUCGCAGCGGUUCUGACGUGCAAAUCGAUCGU